ACKGCUCAGUAACACGUGGACAACCUACCCUAUGGAGUGGGAUAACCCCGGGAAACUGGGGAUAAUACCCCAUAGACUAUAGAUGCUGGAAUACUUUGUAGUUGAAAGGUCCGCCGCCAUAGGAUGGGUCUCCGGCCGAAUAGGUUGUGGUUGGGGUAACGGCCCAACAAGCCUGUAAUCGGUACGGGUUGUGGGAGCAAGAGCCCGGAGAUGGAUUCUGAGACACGAAUCCAGGCCGUACGGGGCGCAGCAGGCGCGAAAACUUUACAAUGCGGGAAACCGUGAUAAGGGAACUCCGAGUGCCCGUAAAAUCGGGCUGUCCAUCUGUUUAAAUAACAGGUGAAGAAAGGACCGGGCAAGACCGGGCCAUCCGCCGCGGUAAUACCGGCGUCUCGAGUGGUGGCCACUAUUUCUGGGCUUAAAGCGUUAGUAGCUGGUCUGUUAAGUCUCUGGGGAAAUCUACUGGCUUAACCAAUAGGCGUCUCAGGGAUACUGGCAGGCUAGGGGCCGGGAGAGGUGAGAGGUACUCCAGGGGUAGGAGUGAAAUCCUGUAAUCCUUGGGGGGCCACCUGUGGCGAAGGCGUCUCACCAGAACGGCUCCGACAGUGAGGGACGAAAGCUGGGGGAGCAAACCGGAUUAGAUACCCGGGUAGUCCCAGCCGUAAACGAUGCGCGUUAGGUGUAUCGGUGACCACGAGUCACCGAGGUGCCGCAGAGAAAUCGUGAAACGUGCCGCCUGGGAAGUACGGUCGCAAGGCUGAAACUUAAAGGAAUUGGCGGGGGAGCAC
rnacentral:rRNA from 1 species